GUGGCGCAUGCCUGUAAUCCCAGCUACUUGGGAGGCUGAGGCAGGAGAAUCACUUGAACCUGGGAGGCAGGGAUUGCAGUGAGCCGAGCUUGCACCAUUGCACUCCAGCCUGGACAACAAAGAGCAAAACCCCACCUCAAAACAAAACAAAACAAGAAAACAAGAAUGAAGAUGUAGGGAGAGAUCAGAGGGUGGAGUGGCUUGUCACAGAGGAGGUCUCUGAGUUGAGCCUUAAAGGAGAGAAAUUACACUGGAAGGAGAAGGAAGUACAGAGCACAGGCAAAGAAACAGAUGCACGGAGCAGCAUGAGGAAUUAUUUGAUGUUGCUGGGACCUGAAGUGCAAGAAAAAGAGCCAGUGAAGAGAAGACUAGCAAGGGGGGUCAGAGCCAGAUGAGGAGCUUGCAAAGCUCAUCCUUUGGUGCUCUAUUGGAUAGUCUGCAAAUUAUUUUCUGACUCCAGGAUGACAAAAAUAUGUGAAUCCAUUUUCUUUUCUCUCUCAUGAGCAUCACAAGCCCGUUUAUUUUUAUAUCCAUUCUGUCUAAAUUACUUUGCUCUACAACUUUAUAGCAUAAUCAUGAGAGCCUCUUUUCUUGCAUGGAUGUUGCAAAGAGCAUGAAGUCCUCCAUGGCUUUUAAAGAAGGCUUUUGUUGAAUUAGCAGAACCUACCAGAGCUCCUGGAAAUUCUGGGUUUCCGGUCUCUGGGGGCGUCUUCACUCCAAGCCUCGGUGCCCUUACUUGGAUUUGCAAGUUUAGAGUUAAAGUAAGUGUCAGAAAUACGUGUGGUGAUUACAGACACUUUGUAGCCAAUAAUUUCCAUAGUGGAACUGAUAUCACUUCUUGACCUAUUUUUUCAGAGGACUUUUGCGCAAUAGUUACUUUAGAAGCACCCUCUUGAAAAGAAAUCUGAAAUGGACGUAAAAGGCUAUAUUUAUUUGUUCAUAGCAUUUCUUGAUGACCUGCUUUAUGCAAGAUUUCAAAGAGCUCACAGCUAUUAAUGACUACUUAAAACUCUUAAUAUCCAAAAUAUAUAAGGAACUCAUACAAAUCAAUACCAAAAAUACAAACAACUGGAUUAAAAAAUGGGCAAGGGACCAAAAUAGACACUUCUUAGAAAAGGAAAUUCAGAAUGCCAAUAAACAUGUGAAAAGGUGCUCCACAUCUGUAAUUAUCAGGUAAAUGCAGGUCAAAACCAUAAUGAGAUAUCACUUCAUACCUUUUAGGGUGACUAUUGUAAAAAAGAUAAAAGAUAGCAAAUGUCGGCAAAGAUGUGGAGAAAGUAGAACCCUUGUUCACUGUUGUUAGGAAUAUAACUUUAUACAACCAUUAUGGAAAAAGUAGGAAGGUUCCCCCA
rnacentral:misc_RNA from 1 species